rnacentral:rRNA from 1 species
CCUACGGGAGGCAGCAGUGGGGAAUCUUGCGCAAUGGGCGAAAGCCUGACGCAGCCAUGCCGCGUGAAUGAUGAAGGUCUUAGGAUUGUAAAAUUCUUUCAGUAGGGACGAUAAUGACGGUACCUACAGAAGAAGCCCCGGCUAACUUCGUGCCAGCAGCCGCGGUAAUACGAAGGGGGCUAGCGUUGCUCGGAAUUACUGGGCGUAAAGGGAGCGUAGGCGGACAUUUAAGUCAGGGGUGAAAUCCCAGAGCUCAACUCUGGAACUGCCUUUGAUACUGGGUGUCUUGAGUGUGAUAGAGGUAUGUGGAACUCCGAGUGUAGAGGUGAAAUUCGUAGAUAUUCGGAAGAACACCAGUGGCGAAGGCGACAUACUGGAUCAUUACUGACGCUGAGGCUCGAAAGCGUGGGGAGCAAACAGGAUUAGAUACCCUGGUAGUCCACGCCGUAAACGAUGAUUGCUAGUUGUCGGGAUGUUUACAUCUCGGUGACGCAGCUACGACAUAAGACACUCCGCCGUCGGGGUAGGUACGGUCGGCGAAGAAUUAAAACCGUUAAAACGGUAAGUUAGUACGGCGUGAGACGUCGCCGACGGACGACCGACGAGGGAGGUUAGG